GAGCGUGAGCAUAGGGACACGCUGCACCCAGGGGAACAGCACUGGGUCGGGGGAAGGAUCUGGCCAGUGCCAAGCAGGCUGUCUGAGGGGUUGGGGGUCCAGCGUGGGUUCCGGAAGCAGGAAAGGCGAGCAGGUGUGGGAUCUAAAUUAGGACGAGGGGCGGGGAGGGCGCUCUGCGCAGAAGGGCGCAGUUCGGCCUCCGACCUCAGCAGCGGACCCUCAUCUCGGCCGCUUGUUGGUUCGCAGGCCUGGAGUGGGCUGAGACCCGCCCAGAAACCGGGAAAACUGAGGCGCGGGCGAGCCCCUUCGGCUCCACGGGCUUUCCGCCCCGAGGUCCUAACUGCGCCCCACUUCAAGUCUGGCCUCUUCACAGAAGUGGCUGCACGCCUCGGGGUAAAGGGGGGAGAGGGGGGUGGGGGGGGGAAAGAGAGCGGGGAGCCCCGAGGGACGGGCGGGGGAGCCUGGGCCGGAAGGCGUCCCAGGCUCGGUUGGCAGCCGGCGCUCUCUUUCGACGCCACCCGCUGCCCCCGCCCCCGAGCCGGCCGGGACGGCACAACGUCUCCGCCCCCAGCGCACCGCGCACCUCACCUUGAACGCCGCCCCACCCACCCCCAUCUUAUUGGGCCUCCCGGGCCGAGGCCUCCCGGCGAUUGGUCGGGGAGGUCCGCGAAGGCCCCGCCCAUCUCUCCGCCCCCGUUCCCGUCCGCCGGUACUUUGGACGGCGGCGUGGCGCCCCUCCUCCCCUCCCGGUCCCCGCCCCCUGGAGCAAAUGCUGCCGAGCUGCGGCCGCGGGGCAGAUGCACGCGCUCGGGCCCUUCUAGCAGGCGCGAGCAGUCGCUGGGCGCGCGAAAGCGAAAGAAGGAAGAGGAAGGGAGGGGGAGGGCGGGGUGUUGGGGAGGGGCGGGAGGAGGAAGAGGAGGAGGUUGGAGCGCGCUCGCGCUUGGCCUCGCGCCCGCGCAGAGGGAGGGAGAGAGGGGUGCGCGCGCGCACGCUCGCGUUCUCGCUCGCUCCAUCCAUCCAUCCUCCCGUCGCGGCACACGCGCGCGCGCGCUCCGGGCUCGCGCCGCACCCCCCGCCCGGGAGAGGCGGGCUGGAGUGGGGGGCGGGGGGAGGGGCGCGCGGACGGCGCGCGGACUGCGCGCGGGCGGGGUGAGGUGA
rnacentral:lncRNA from 1 species